rnacentral:rRNA from 1 species
CCCUUAGAUGUUCUGGGCCGCACGCACGCUACAAUGAUGAAUUCAACGAGUUUAUAACCUUGGUUGAAAAGCCUGGGUAAUCUUUUGAACUUUCGUCGUGAUGGGGCUAGACCCUUGCAAUUAUUGGUCUCCAACGAGGAAUUCCUAGUAAACGCAAGUCAUCAGCUUGCAUUGAUUACGUCCCUGCCCUUUGUACACACCGCCCGUCGCACCUACCGAUUGAAUGGUCCGGUGAAAUCUUCGGAUUGAGACUUUGAUUUCUUCACGGAAAACGCUGUUUUAAAAAGUUGAUUAAACCUUACCAUUUAGAGGAAGGUGAAGUCGUAACA